CUAAAAGCGAGUCAGUCUCAGAAGAUUUAUGUGUUAAAAUUCUCAGUUUUUGAAAGCGUACUUUUACAGACUAGUAAAAAAAAGUUUGGGCGUCUUAAUUAUUUUAUUUUAUUUUAUUUUUUUAAAAAUGAGCAAUCCAUCGUGAUACUGGGCUUCGUGAGUGGCAACUUUCCUUACACCUGCUGUUGAAGCCAGUCUUGUCUGUUAUGGCUCACCUCGCUAGUUUGACUUUUGUGACUUAUGUGGCGUUUUUGGAGGAUUUUAAUGGAAUUAUCUGACAUUUAUAUUAUGGCUUUCUGUAUGUUACAGCCUGACGAAGAAGCGAGAGGAAAUGCGCACAGGAUGUGGGAUCUCAUUCUGUAGGACUUUUGCGACGUUUGGUUCAGUCCAGUCUAGUCUGGUCAGGCCAGUCUAAAUGCAAAAGAGAUGCAGACUGAGAAAGGAUGAUGAAUUCUCUUCUUAGGGUUGCUCUGACUGUAUAUCUCAAAGAAGCGGGCUUUAAACCCCCUAAAAUGGAUCCAAUUACGAAGAGGGCUUUUUGGUGAUGCUUGUGGAACUGUGUGUAAUUGUGUAACCCUAAUUUUCCUGGCACGGAGGCUCUGACAGAGGCCUGUCAUCUCCUCUAAGGCUCUUCUUUCAGGCACGAUGCUGAAAUGAGAUCUCGUCUUAGCUGCAGAAAUGCUGAAAGUAAUAUAACGGACACCAAGAGAACAAAAUCACCUUCUUACAGAGAAAUCCCUUAGAAAAAGGGCUUUAGCUUCCAUAUCUACACUGGUCUCUCAGCUGACAUGAUGCAGUGAAGAGGGCUGUGUGAUAUGUACUUAUAGUGCAGUCUUACAGAUGAGAAGAAAUUUUUCAUCUCUUAAAGCACUGAGAAAUUUAAUGUUGGCGCUUAACCCCCCCCCCCCCAAACAAACUAUAUUCAGUGCAUAGUUGUGUAAAUGUAUGCUCUUGAAUAAAACAAAAAUUUAUAAAAGCCUAAUGACGGAAAAGGACCAGACUGGCUUUGGUGGCUGUCUAAAUUCACCUUUGUGCACCCAUUCCACCUGCCUGUGUCUCUCAGACCUCAUAAUCGGCAGCAGCAUCCUCUGGCACGGCAAUCUAAUGGCUCAUAAAUGUUUUAUAGCAGUGCAUGAUCUAGCUGUUCUGUAUCUACCUCUGCUAUUAUGUGUUCUUUGAGAGAAAGAGAUGAAAAACAGUCAGUUCCCUAUGAAUGAAUGGAUUUCAGUAAUAUUUUUUUUUAAGUCAUACAUAAUAAUGAAACUCUUUCAUUUUUUUUUUCUGUCACUGAGAAACAAAAGCCAUGUUAACCAUACUGAUAUUCUUCUGAUGAUAAUGAAUUGUUUUGAAUAGUUGGUUUAAGAAAACGGGAUUGUGCGUGUGUGUGUAAAUUACUGCAGAUAGUAGUAGCAAAUCUUUUGCCUUUGAUCUUUGCAACCAUCAAAGAGAUCCGACCUCCCAAAGUCAGACAGCCAGCAACAUGCAGUGCUGAAUUUCAUAUGCUUUGAGAGAACGUCAAACAGCAUCUCUUCAUUUCUCCCUUGCUGGUCAGUAAUCUCUGUAAAAGAAAUACUAUGAGACUGCAUAGAUAAUAAACUGCCAGCUGCUAGCACAUACUUAGCACAAUAACAA
ensembl:lncRNA